ensembl:snoRNA LOC120099439 small nucleolar RNA SNORA62/SNORA6 family
GGAGCAUGCUUUUGAGGCUGGCUGGAUUCUAUUCUCCUCAUUAGAAUGCAUCCAUAUCCAGUGAACUUCUGAGUGUCGGAAGUGUGCUACGUUGAACCUAUGGCAGGAUUUUCGCUAACACCAGUAGAGCUGGCCUCUAUGACUGGAGUUUAGUAGUGGUCACUGCCACAUAU